rnacentral:rRNA from 1 species
UACGUAGGGGGCAAGCGUUGUCCGGAUUUAUUGGGCGUAAAGAGCGUGUAGGCGGUUUGGUAGGUCCGUUGUGAAAACUCGAGGCUCAACCUCGAGACGCCGAUGGAAACCAUCAGACUAGAGUCCGGAAGAGGAGAGUGGAAUUCCUGGUGUAGCGGUGAAAUGCGUAGAUAUCAGGAGGAACACCGAUGGCGAAGGCAGCUAUCUGGGCUAAGAUUGACGCUGAGGUGCGAAAGCGUGGGGAGCGAACGGG